UGGCACAGUAGUUAAGCAUUUGGCUGCUAACCAAAAGGUUGGUGGUUCAAACCCACC
rnacentral:tRNA from 1 species